UCACUGAAUUUAUGUUGAUAGGAGCGAGACUGGAUGGGCAAAUAUUGGAAACCUGCUUUUGUUGCUUGUGGUCUUCUCGAUCGAAGCAGCCAAUUCAUGCUGCAUGGCAUUGAAAUGGUGGAGGCUGGCUAGCUAGGUUCUUAAGAUUCUAUUUGUGCCGCAUGAAAUUACCCAAGAAUUCAAGAAGGAUGCUUUGCUUCAUCACAGUAAGAGACUGGCUAUUGCUCAAGACCUUAUGACUAUACCCCAGCACCUCUUUCUCAACCAUUUCAUGGAUAGCAUCG
rnacentral:lncRNA from 1 species